CGAGGCAUCCCCGAUCCAUCCAGCAUCUUCUCGCGCAGUCUUCUUCGACCCGCUGCCACAGUCCCGGCGCCCCAGGCCCUGCGCAGAUGAAGACCCUCCCCCGGACGGCUUUGCGGGCCCUGCCUCAGCCGGCGCCCCCUUCUCUCCUGCAGGACCCGGACCCGCGCUGCAGGGGCUGAGUGCCCCCUGGGUCGGCGUCUGAGUCUUGCCUCCCCGUAGGCUCAGUACCUGGCACGUGUCCAAGGCUCAGCAGCUGUACCACAACCACCCAACAGGAGAGAAGGAAAGGAGAGGUGCACCCCGGGGAUGUGGUGAGGCCAUCCCGUCAUGGGGAAUCAGAAAAGGACUGCGUCUUAGCCAGCCAGCUGGGGGAAGGUGGGGGUACCUCUUGUGUUUCCUUUUCUUGGAAUUAUUCUCCCUGGUGACCGGUAUAUAUCCAUUUGAGGCCCCUUGGCAUGAGAUAGAGCCCAGGUCACCAGGGGAGACUUAAAUAGACACCAGACCUCACCUCGAAGGCGACCUAAGGUGCUCCUGCCCCUUUGCCCUCCCCGUCCAGACCAGGCACUGCCUGUCAGGUGCUGCACGCUCCCAAACCUGUCCUGGAUUUUCCAUCCUCUUCAAGAUUCACCUUCCCAAACCUAUACCAUGUCAUCCGAGACGCACAAAAGCUGAUCUGAAAAGUCUUCUCUGCCUCAGAUGCAGAUGAAUUGUCAUCCCGUGGAGGGUAGUCAGUUUCCUUCCUGCUCACAAGAAGAUGGUGUGGCUCAUGGGAUGGUAACGACAGCCCCCAUUCAUGAAGUGGCUAGCUGUUGUACCAGAUAUGUAGAUAAGUUGCCUGGGCUUCUCGGGACAUGUGACCAGGUGGCAUCUGGGUUGCUCACCCAGGGCUUCUUGAUUGUUGCAGAGGAGGCAGCACCGGGCAGAGGGGCCCUUGAGAGAUGUCACCAUCCUGUUAAGAAAGGGCUGGACCACAGCGCUGCAGAGGUGAGCUCUGUUCAUUGGAGGUCUGGGGCUUGGCAUCCCGCAAGUGCCCACAGUUCCCCUGGUGUGAUGUUCUCUGGGAAGUAGGUAGAGGAGUGACGAGGGUGGCUUCGUCCUGGCCUUCUCUGGGGCCUUCAAGAACACACCUGGUUUCUAUUUAUGCCCUUGAUUCUGAGAGCUCUUCCUCAAAUGUUGGCAGCAGAACGUGUGAGUUGAAGCAGGGAAGGGAGUUUGGCAUAUCCACCUGUACGUGGGUCUCCGUCACUUCUCUGCCGCCUCCUAGCUUUGGGACCUUCUCUUACCUCUGGUUUCACCCUCUGGAAAGCAGGACUCAAAUGAGGCUAUUUGUCUUCAGAUCACAUGGCAUCUGUCUUUUACAACCUGAGACCUCUUUCACUUUUCCUUCGGAGGCCUCUCCUGUCUGGGCCACGGGGAAGGCUUUGUGCAGGACUGGAAGCAGUUGCUGGGUCCUUGGGCUCCACUGGGUUCACUACUCCCAGGCCUUUUCCAUGGGCCUCCUUUUCCAGCAAGCCCCCGUCUUUCCCUGCCCCUGCACUUGGACAUGAUCACCGGCUGCCCAUGGCCCGUUGGUAGGCAGUGCGGGCGGAGGGAGCGUGGGCGGGUUGUCCCGCGCUUGGAGAGUCUGCUUCCUUACCCUGCAGUUCCAGGAGCUUUCCCACCCUCCUGCUGCUCCCCUCAUACUCCUGGAGCCUCCAGGGCUUCAGGGGCUGUCCUGUGUGCGUUAGUGUCAUUGUUGGGGCUUUUAUUUCCUGCCCUGCUGUUGGGAACCGGACUACAUGUGCUGCGUGAGUUCCCCUGAAUGUUCAGUUGCUGCCACUCGGCCAUGGCAUGUUCCCAUGGGCCUGGCCUUGACACCCUUUUCUGCCCACCACUGGUGAAUGGCACGCUGAUUAGCGCUGGCCACCCUGCCGCAGGCCAUCCGCCGUCUCCCUCUUUAGAGUUAACUACUGUUCUUUUUAUGAGGAAACGGCGUGUCUAUUCAGGAAAUGAUCACUGCCAGCAUCUGCAGAGUGCUUACUGUCUGGCGGCUUCUGUGCUGAGCCCUUUUCUGCUGCCUGCCAUGCGCUGUAUGAGCAGGGGCAAGGCAGGUGCUCAUUCUCAGCUUCUUGUCCGAUGCAGAUGAGUCCACGGUGUGCAGAGGCCGUCGUGGAAGUUGUGGUGUCAGGAGCGCUGUAGACCGCAGUGUCCUUGAGUGUUCAUUCUGACUCUUCUCUGGGAGCAUUGAGAUUCCUUUUUGAGCCAAGUUUGGUGUGGAAAAAAACACUGCAGCUCAUCUCUGACUAAUUGGGGACGCUUUCAUGGAUGUCACCUUAAAGAAAGAUGAGGGGUGCUGCUUUGGAAGAAGCCUCGGGGGUCAGAACCACUCGCCCUCUCAAGGUAUUUAGGGGCUGACCGCGGACACUGGCGUAGCAGCGUGAAGCAGGAUGUUGUCGCAUGACCAUCGCCAAACCUUUCUCUUCUGUUGCCUCAGCACAGCGUGGAAGGACUCUGCCCUCUGUGUGAACAGGGCAGAGGGGACGUUCUGGGGCUCCAGGGACUUGGGAUUCAGAGCUGGAGACCUUCUACUGGCUCCCAGCAGGUGCCUCAGAACACUGCUGACCAGGAAGACUGUCUCUUCCCAUCUGGACCAGGUCAUCCCGUGGCUUCUGUGUCUCCCAUUUGCUCCUAGUAUAACUUUUUAGAACCAGGAGUUCCUGUUGGAGUCUUGUGUGCCAUGCAUCUUAUCUUCUCACCCACUUAAAUAAAUCUCGAAACUGC
rnacentral:lncRNA from 1 species